rnacentral:rRNA from 1 species
CAUUAAUGAAAUUAUAAUCCGGCGAGGGAAAGGCCGGGAGAACUGUCGCUGGCCCGCUUAAAACGGGCAUGUGCACGCUCUCUUUCUCGACCUUCGCCGUAUGGGCGUGUGGGGGGCCAACCCCCCCGCGUCUUCAUAUACCUCUUCGUGUAGAAAGUCUUUGAACGUUUUUAUCAUCGUCGAGUCGCGACUUCCAGGAGACGCGAUUCUUCGAGACAAAAGUUAUUACAACUUUCAGCAAUGGAUCUCUUGGCUCUCGCAUCGAUGAAGAACGCAGCGAAUCGCGAUAUGUAAUGUGAAUUGCAGAUCUACAGUGAAUCAUCGAAUCUUUGAACGCACCUUGCGCUCCUCGGUGUUCCGAGGAGCAUGCCUGUUCGAGCGUCAGUAAAUUCUCAACCCCUCUCGAUUAGCUUCGAGCCGGGGCUUGGAUCCUGGGGGCUGCCGGAGACCUGUUUUUCAGGACUCGGGCUCCUCUGAAAUGCAUCGGCUUGCGGUCGACUUUUCGACUUUGCGCGACAAGGCUUUCGGCGUGAUAAUGAUCGCCGUUCGCCGAAGCGCAUGAAUGAAACCCGUCCCGCGCCUCUAAUCCGUCGACGACCUUUCGGGUCGUCUUCCUUAUAGACGUUUGACCUCGAAUCAGGUAGGACUACCCGCUGAACUUAA